rnacentral:rRNA from 1 species
AUUGAACGCUGGCGGCAUGCCUUACACAUGCAAGUCGAACGGUAACGGGUCCUUCGGGAUGCCGACGAGUGGCGAACGGGUGAGUAAUAUAUCGGAACGUGCCCAGUAGUGGGGGAUAACUGCUCGAAAGAGCAGCUAAUACCGCAUACGACCUGAGGGUGAAAGGGGGGGAUCGCAAGACCUUCCGCUAUUGGAGCGGCCGAUAUCAGAUUAGCUAGUUGGUGGGGUAAAGGCCUACCAAGGCAACGAUCUGUAGUUGGUCUGAGAGGACGACCAGCCACACUGGGACUGAGACACGGCCCAGACUCCUACGGGAGGCAGCAGUGGGGAAUUUUGGACAAUGGGCGCAAGCCUGAUCCAGCAAUGCCGCGUGCAGGAAGAAGGCCUUCGGGUUGUAAACUGCUUUUGUCAGGGAAGAAAUCUUCUGGGCUAAUACCCCGGGAGGAUGACGGUACCUGAAGAAUAAGCACCGGCUAACUACGUGCCAGCCGCCGCCGUAAAAC